CACCCAACUUCUGAACGUUGACCUCGAAUCAGGUAGGACUACCCGCUGAACUUAAGCAUACAAAAAGCGGAGGA
rnacentral:rRNA from 1 species